CCCCUAGAUGUUCUGGGCCGCACGCGCGCUACACUGAACAGUUCAACAAGUCUUAACCUUGGCCGAUAGGUCUGGGUAAUCUUUGAACGCUGUUCGUGAUUGGGAUAGACCUUUGCAAUUAUGGGUCUUCAACGAGGAAUUCCUAGUAAACGCAAGUCAUCAGCUUGCAUUGAUUACGUCCCUGCCCUUUGUACACACCGCCCGUCGCACCUACCGAUUGAAUGGUCCGGUGAAAUCUCGGGACGGCGGCUUGGUCGCUUGCGUCCGACUGCUGAAACUUGAUUAAACCAUAUCAUUNNNAGGAAGGUGAAGUCGUAACA
rnacentral:rRNA from 1 species